AUGUCAACAGGUACUCAGGGGCAUGCUCGCCUCGGCAGUCAUCAAGGUGGCAAUAGGACACUUGAAUUCUACCAUUUCAGGCGAGAUCAAGCUGCACAGGAAUAUGAGGAACGAUCCGAUCUAGAGAACAUGAAGAUGACGCUGGAGUUGGUGGACGCUGUGCUCCGCGACACAGAGAGGGAGUCUAUCAAGCAUAAGUCCAUGCUUCUGUGGCUGAAGCAACUUAAGGAUGCCGUGAACGACAUCUCUCACAUGCUUGAAGAUUUUGAAGAUGAAACCGACCUCAACUUGGUAUUUGGCAAUGUUGGCUCUUGGGCUGCCCAAUUGAUCACUGAAGCUGGUGGCGAGGUGGUCUCCAUCAGAGAUGUCACAGGGGCUGUCAAGAACUCCAAAUGGCAUUGA
rnacentral:rRNA from 1 species